CCAAGUGCGAGGGGUUUUACUCCUCGCUUUUCUGUACCGUAAGGUGGUACAGGAACAAGAACUGGGCAAGACCGGUGCCAGCCGCCGCGGUAAUACCGGCAGUUCGAGUGAUGGCCGCUAUUAUUGGGCUAAAGCGUCCGUAGCUGGCCACACAAGUCCGUCGGGAAAUCUACUCGCUCAACGAGUAGACGUCCGGCGGAAACUGUGUGGCUUGGGACCGGGAGACCCGAAGAGUACGUCCGGGGUAGGAGUGAAAUCCCGUAAUCCUGGACGGACUACCGAUGGCGAAAGCACUUCGGGAGCACGGAUCCGACAGUGAGGGACGAAAGCUGGGGUCUCGAACCGGAUUAGAUACCUGGGUAGUCCCAGCCGUAAACGAUGCUCGCCAGGUUUGGCACAGGCUACGAGCCUGUGCUGUGCCGAAGUGAAGACGCAAGCGAGCCGCCUGGGAAGUACGUCUGCAAGGAUGAAACUUAAAGGAAUUGGCGGGGGAGCACUACAACCGGAGGAGCCUGCGGUUUAAUUGGACUCAACGCCGGACAUCUCACCAGCACCGACUGCAAUAAUGACGGCCAGUUUGAUGAGCUUGCCCGAGCUGCAGAGAGGAGGUGCAUGGCCGCCGUCAGCUCGUACCGUGAGGCAUCCUGUUAAGUCAGGCAACGAGCGAGACCCGCAUCCUUAGUUGCCAGCAGCAUCUUGCGAUGGCUGGGUACACUAGGGAGACCGCCACGGCUAACGUGGAGGAAGGAACGGGCAACGGUAGGUCAGCAUGCCCCGAAUGUGCUGGGCGACACGCGGGCUACAAUGGCCGAGACAACGGGUCACUACCCCGAGAGGGGGCGUUAAUCCCUGAAACUCGGUCGUAGUUCGGAUUGAGGGCUGAAACUCGCCCUCAUGAAGCUGGACUCGGUAGUAAUCGCGUGUCAGAAGCGCGCGGUGAAUACGUCCCUGCUCCUUGCACACACCGCCCGUCAAAUCACCCGAGUAGGGUCCGGAUGAGGCCAGCAUGCGCUGGUCGAA
rnacentral:rRNA from 1 species